rnacentral:rRNA from 1 species
UGCGUAGGCGGAUUAGUAAGUCAGUGGUGAAAGCCCGUCGCUUAACGGCGGAACUGCCAUUGAUACUGCUAGUCUUGAGUAUGGUUGAGGUGGGCGGAAUGUGUCAUGUAGCGGUGAAAUGCUUAGAUAUGACCCAGAACACCAAUUGCGAAGGCAGCUCGCUAAACCAUAACUGACGCUGAUGCACGAAAGCGUGGGGAGCGAACAGGAUUAGAUACCCUGGUAGUCC